rnacentral:lncRNA from 1 species
AGGACAUAGCUCACAGAAAAAGCUCGAGGAUCAUAUUUAUUAUACAAUGCAAAUAAAACUAUUGAUUGUUUAAACUAUUCACUGCAAAAAUAAAUCUCAAAGCUCUCCUUACCAUUCCCUCUAAAUGUAACAUUUUUUCCGCAAGGUAGCUAUUGUGGAUCUCGACCUCGGCCUCGGCUAAUUAUAUCCUCAAUACCAACCGAAGACAC